CAGUCGCCGCGGUAAUACGUAGGUGGCAAGCGUUGUCCGGAAUUAUUGGGCGUAAAGCGCGCGCAGGUGGUUUAAUAAGUCUGAUGUGAAAGCCCACGGCUCAACCGUGGAGGGUCAUUGGAAACUGUUAAACUUGGGUGCAGGAGAGAAAAGUGGAAUUCCUAGUGUAGCGGUGAAAUGCGUAGAGAUUAGGAGGAACACCAGUGGCGAAGGCGGCUUUUUGGCCUGUAACUGACACUGAGGCGCGAAAGCGUGGGGAGCAAACAGGAUUAGAUACCCGUGUAGUCCCUGUCUCUUAUAC
rnacentral:rRNA from 1 species